UGUGAGACGGAGGCCUUCCGGAGGCUUCCAGAUUUAAACCAAUCCCACAGACAUGCGACAGAAUUGCCUAUAGAGAAUUGUAUUAUAGCCAAGUGCCAGGGGAUAUAUUUAUCUGUGCCUGAGGUUCUCAUCUCUUUUUAAAGAAAAAGCCACACAUUUGGCUAAAAGACAAAGUGGAAAAAAUGUACUCUUGAGUAAAUAUUCAGGAUGGUUGCUCAGAAUAUUUGAAAUGAUGAACUAUGUGGGAAAAAAAAAGUGCCUGUGACAAAUUGUUAGCAGGCUAUAUUUGGGGGUCCAAAUCCAGGGCCCCCGCCAACUGAGUUCACCCAGCCUGGGUGUUUUUCCAUGUCUAUUUAUAACUAUCCACACAUUCACACACAAAAAAUGCAGUGGACAUUUGACUUCAUUUCUAGAUGACUAAAAUGCUCUAAAUGUAUCAGAUUACAGCACGUGAGAACCUGUGGCAUGGCCUGCGAUUAGCCUUACUUACUGGAGAAGGAUUAAUCAAUGUGCAGAAAACAACGAAACAGGAUCCUUUGGGAAUUUGGAAGUAUGAAAACAACUUCUGCUUUAUUUCCUUUGUAAAAAUAUAAUUGACUUCCACAAAACUUGAUUGCGCUCCAACCGUGCGAACGGCUAACUUGAGACCUGCAUAUAAGGAAGGGCACAGUCUCUAGUCCCAAGGAAUUUUCUGGGGAGGUACAGAUACUGGAAUAAAAUACAUUCAAAGGAUGAUCGGUGCCUUCACGGAACCGUGGGCAAGGAUACUGGGCACAGAGAAGAGGGAGUGAAUGCAAUGAGCAGGGGACGUCUCCCAGCAACCAUUCCUUCUGCUCCCUUUAGGAAGACACACGGUUCCCGGCGAGUAUGGCUGAUGUGGAACACGACCUGGCUGGGCCAAUCAGAGUUCUCCAUCCCCCUGGGCACAGUUCAUGUGCUCUCUAAGCUGGACCAAUCAGAGAGAAGAUCAAGACUUGCUGGGAAAGCGACUAGAAAGACUCCCCUCUUUUUGUUGGAUUUGAACGAAGAAGUUCCCAGGUGCUGCUGAAAGCUGUUUUGUACCCGUGAGUCUAGAAGCUGGAAGUCCAAAAUCAAGAUGUCGCCAGCGUCAUACUCCCUCAGAAGGCUCUAGGGGAGGAUCCUUCCUUGCCUCCUCCAGCUUCCGGCGGCCCUGAUAACACCUGUUGUGUUUUCCUGCAGCAGCGAGGUGAUCUGAUUACUUCCUCACUGCCAGACCUCCCCCUGCUGAGGGUGCUUGUCCCCGGCCGCCUUCCUCAUACUUCCUCAUUCCAUUCAUUCAUUAACAUCCACUGGUGACAAAAUACAAAGUGGGAAAUGAAUGCCAAGCAAGAUUCCAGAUACAGGGUUUUGGGAACUGAAGGAGAGGGGAUGAAGACACGAAGAACGGAUGAGUGUGAAGGAAUUGCUACGAAGGGCAAAAGAACAAGAGGAGGAUGACAGAGUACAUUCCAUCAGCCUGAGAGACCCCUCCCCAAGCGCGCCCCUAGUUUUCCGUUGUCAUCAAAUAGCAGCAUAGAACACCAUAGAGUUCGCUUUUGGCACGAGCGAAAGGGCUGAAAGAAUCCCAGAGGUCCUCCAGGGUCAUGUCCUUCAGGAUGCAGUUACGUAAACUUUGAUGCCUCAAACUCAGCAGAUCCCAAAUGCUAACUGUAUCACAUUCACAGCCAAAACAGCCUGUCCUCCUUACACGUCCAUGUUGUCUGUCGGCAGUACAUGCAGUAACACUGCUGAAAAUCUGCGGGAUGCUGGGAAUCUAGCCCCACGCUUGCCCCCCACCACCAGUUAUGCCAGACCUUCUUCUCUCUGGUCCACUCCUCUGUCCCUGUCCAUCUCCAUUCCUCACCUCUGGUCAGGGGUCCUUUGAUCCUUUACCUACAACUUGGCUCGUUCCUGGGGUGCCUGGGUGCUCAGCUGGUGAAGAGUUGACUCUUGAUUUUGGCUCAGGUCAUGAUCUCAGGGUGGUGGGAUGAAGCCCUAUGUUGGGCUCUGCGCUUAGCACAGAGUCUGCUUAUUCCUCUCCUUCUGCUCCGCCUCCCUCCUCAAAUAAAUAAAUAAAAUCUUUAAAACAAAACAAAACAACCAGCUUGGCUCAUUCCUGCUAGUGAAUACAAUGUCCUAGAUCCUUUCGGGAGGAGGGAUCCAGAAGACGGGACCCUCUGUAUCAAAGCUGCAGAGAAGAAUGUCUGGGAAAGGUCGAUACAAUCGGCAAUAAGAGGCCAUUUUUUUUGGUUGUAAUCUACUUUGGUAGUUCUAGUCUAAAGUGCAGUUGAAUCAGCACUAUACUGAAAUAUCCACAUAUGCAGCGACAGAGACUUGCCCUCAGCAUGAGCGUCAGUUCAAAGGAUGAGUGAGUCUCCAGCCCAUACCCUUUAUUUUGCAGAAAUGGAAAUUGGGCCCAAAGAACUAAGUGUCUUGCCCAGGAGAGUGACACAGCAGAGUCUAGAAUCUCAGGGUCCCUGAGUCCACCUAAUGUUUUUUUCCCACUAAAUCAGUGGUUCUCAGCAUGGAUUCAUAUUAGAAUCACCCAGAGGGCUUUUUAAAAAAAUACCUGUGCCUGGCUUUCCCCCAGAGAUUCUGAUGUAAAAGGCCUCGGAUAGAGCUCAAACCUCUUUUUUUUUUUUCUUUUCUUUAUUUUUAACCUCAGUGGAGAACAACUGGACAAGAGCUAGGCUCACCCUUUUCCUGGUUGAGCCUUUUACCCUCUGAUUCAGCUCCUUGAAGGGAAGUAAAGGAAAUAAUGACAUUUCAAUUCAAAUGAAAAGCAGCAUGGAGUUGGUGAAGCAGAAAACAUUCGAAGCAAAAUGACAUUAGAGAUAAAAUAGUCCAGUGGUUUUUAAAAAACUUAGCUGUGAAUACCUUUCUCCAAGUGAAUUCUUCAGAGCUGGCCCCCUCCUUCAGCAGUUGAGGCUGGAACUCAUUGGCUUGCUAUGGACAUGCGGGCACCAGGAUGGGCAUUGGGGACAGUCAGUAGAGGCCAGGAAGUCCCCCGGUCGCAGGGACGAGUCAGGUACAGUUGGCAGUGCUCUUCAGGGUCAGCACUCGAGUGUCCUUGCUCACCUGUCUGGGAAGCCAGAGAUCCUCGGGGAGAAAGCAGGGCCUGGGAAGUAUGGCUCUUCCAUUCUCGUGUGUUGGAGGUGGUAAAAUGCACUGUUGACUUUUUUUUUUUUUUUAAGAUUUAUUUAUUUAUUUGAAAGAGAGAGAGGCAGCGCAUGCAAGAGAGCACAGGGGUGGGGAGGAGCAGAGGAGAGGUAGAGAGAGAGCAUCUCACAGACUCCCCGUUGAGCCCAGAGCCCCAUGACGCAGGGCUCAAUCCCACGAACCCGAGAUCAUGACCUCAGCUGAAAUCAAGAGUAGGAUGCUCAGCUGACUGAGCCACCCAGGCUCCGUGCACUGUUGAUUUCAUCACAGCUUUGUGGGGCCCAAACCAGUAUAUGCUCAUGUCCACAAUUUAAGAAAACUUAAUGGAUAGUAGCAAACAUUUCUCUGUAUAGUUAAUUACAUGCUACUGCCCUUUUUAUUGUAGAGUUAACAUCUUAUUUAAGCAUAUCUCAACUUUUUCUGUGUACAGUAGAAGUUUUUAUUUAAGCACAUCCCGACUCUGGAGAUUUUUAUGAACUGCUGUUGGCAGGGAUUCACAGCACCCAGAUAACAUGUGACCUUCAUAACCUAAACUUGAUGACAACCUUCAGAACUGACCAGUGUAUCGAGAUUAUAUAUCUGCUUUUCCUCUUAGGUUAAACUA